rnacentral:ncRNA from 1 species
AAAAAGUGAAUAAGCAACUAACGUAUAAUCUUGGGGAUAAGGCCCAUAAGUUUCUACCGGACGACCGUGAAUUGUCCGACUACGUUCUGAACACCGGGGGAU